UGAAAGAGAGAGAGUUCCCCAUGGAUCUGAACGUCAAUCUUGAGCAGUGACUUGUCAUGCCGAAUCGACAGCAUGCGUGCAGGUGCGCUAUGUGACUGCUGUAAGGGAUAAGUAAGACGUUCUAUGCAGUACCAUCGAUAAGACGCUAUCUCAGCAGCGCGGUAAUCGAGUCAGGCGUUAUCGAUUAUGGUUAAAGGGAGCGUAGGCUGAUAUAAGUGUGUUGUGAAAUGUAGACGCUCACGUCUGAUGCAGCGCAUACUGUUUCUUGAGUACGCACAACGUGGCGGAAUCGUCGUGUAGCGUGAAAUGCUUAGAUAUGACGAAGAACUCCGAUGCGAAGGCAGCUGACGGGAGCGCAACUGACGCUUAAGCUCGAAGGUGCGGGUAUCAAACAGGAUUAGAUACCUGGUAGUCCGCACAGUAAACGAUGGAUGCCCGCUGUUGGUACUGGUAUCAGCGGCUAAGCGAAAGCAUUAAGCAUCCCACUGGGGAGUACGCGGGCAACGGUGAAACUCAAAGGAAUUGACGGGGGCCCGCACAAGCGGAGGAACAUGUGGUUUAAUUCGAUGAUACGCGAGGAACCUUACCCGGGCUUGAAUUGCAGAGGAAGGAUUUAGAGAUAAUGACGCCCUUCGGGGUCUCUGUGAAGGUGCUGCAUGGUUGUCGUCAGCUCGUGCCGUGAGGUGUCGGCUUAAGUGCCAUAACGAGCGCAACCCCUCUCUUCAGUUGCCAUCAGGUUAAGCUGGGCACUCUGGAGACACUGCCACCGUAAGGUGUGAGGAAGGUGGGGAUGACGUCAAAUCAGCACGGCCCUUACGUCCGGGGCUACACACGUGUUACAAUGGCCGGUACAGAGGGAUGGUGUAAUGCAAAUUGCAUCAAAUCUUGAAAGCCGGUCCCAGUUCGGACUGGGGUCUGCAACCCGACCCCACGAAGCUGGAUUCGCUAGUAAUCGCGCAUCAGCCAUGGCGCGGUGAAUACGUUCCCGGGCCUUGUACACACCGCCCGUCAAGCCAUGAAAGCCGGGGGUGCCUGAAGUCCGUGACCGCAAGGAUCGGCCUAGGGCAAAACUGGUGAUUGGGGCUAAGUCGUAACAAGGUAGCCGUACCGGAAGGUGCGGCUGGAACACCUCC
rnacentral:rRNA from 1 species